AGAGGUUCUAGCUACACCCUCUAUAAAAAACUAA
rnacentral:misc_RNA from 1 species